rnacentral:rRNA from 1 species
GUCAGGAUGAACGCUGGCGGCGUGCCUAACACAUGCAAGUCGAACGGAGUAAUUAAGCGGAAGUUUCGGAUGGAAGCAUAGUACUUAGUGGCGGACGGGUGAGUAACGCGUGGGCAACCUGCCCUGUACCGGGGGAUAACACUUAGAAAUAGGUGCUAAUACCGCAUAAGCGCACAGCUUCGCAUGAAGGUGUGUGAAAAACUCCGGUGGUACAGGAUGGACCCGCGUCUGAUUAGCUAGUUGGUGGGGUAGAGGCCUACCAAGGCGACGAUCAGUAGCCGGCCUGAGAGGGUGACCGGCCACAUUGGGACUGAGACACGGCCCAAACUCCUACGGGAGGCAGCAGUGGGGAAUAUUGCACAAUGGGGGAAACCCUGAUGCAAGCGACGCCGCGUGAGUGAAGAAGUAUUUCGGUAUGUAAAGCUCUAUCAGCAGGGAAGAAAAUGACGGUACCUGACUAAGAAGCCCCGGCUAACUACGUGCCAGCCGCAGC